rnacentral:rRNA from 1 species
UACGUAGGGGGCAAGCGUUGCUCGGAAUGACUGGGCGUAAAGGGCGCGUAGGCGGUUUGUACAGUCAGAUGUGAAAUUCCUGGGCUCAACCUGGGGGCUGCAUUUGAUACGUGCGGACUUGAGUGAGGAAGAGGGUCGUGGAAUUCCCAGUGUAGAGGUGAAAUUCGUAGAUAUUGGGAAGAACACCGGUGGCGAAGGCGGCUCACUGGACCGGUACUGACGCUGAUGCGCGAAAGCGUGGGGAGCAAACGGG